CAAUAGCGUAUAUUUAAGUUGUUGCAGUUAAAAAGCUCGUAGUCGGAUUUUGGCUGAGAACGAUCGGUCCGCCGUUAGGUGUGCACUGAUUGGUCUCAGCUUCCUGGUGAGGAGGUGUGCUUCACGGCCACUUAGUCACCGUGGUUACUUUGAAAAAAUUAGAGUGUUCAAAGUGGGCUUACGCUUGAAUAUAUUAGCAUGGAAUAACACCAUAGGACUCCUGUCCUAUUUCGUUGGUCUCGGGACGGGAGUAAUGAUUAAGAGGAACAGUUGGGGGCAUUCGUAUUUCAUUGUCAGAGGUGAAAUUCUUGGAUUUAUGAAAGACGAACUUCUGCGAAAGCAUUUGCCAAGGAUGUUUUCAUUGA
rnacentral:rRNA from 1 species